CCGCACGUCGCGUGGUGUCCG
rnacentral:siRNA from 1 species